GACGAACGCUGGCGGCGUGCCUAAUACAUGCAAGUAGAACGCUGAAGGAGGAGCUUGCUUCUCCGGAUGAGUUGCGAACGGGUGAGUAACGCGUAGGUAACCUGCCUGGUAGCGGGGGAUAACUAUUGGAAACGAUAGCUAAUACCGCAUAAGAGUAGAUGUUGCAUGACAUUUGCUUAAAAGGUGCAAUUGCAUCACUACCAGAUGGACCUGCGUUGUAUUAGCUAGUUGGUGGGGUAACGGCUCACCAAGGCGACGAUACAUAGCCGACCUGAGAGGGUGAUCGGCCACACUGGGACUGAGACACGGCCCAGACUCCUACGGGAGGCAGCAGUAGGGAAUCUUCGGCAAUGGACGGAAGUCUGACCGAGCAACGCCGCGUGAGUGAAGAAGGUUUUCGGAUCGUAAAGCUCUGUUGUAAGAGAAGAACGAGUGUGAGAGUGGAAAGUUCACACUGUGACGGUAUCUUACCAGAAAGGGACGGCUAACUACGUGCCAGCAGCCGCGGUAAUACGUAGGUCCCGAGCGUUGUCCGGAUUUAUUGGGCGUAAAGCGAGCGCAGGCGGUUAGAUAAGUCUGAAGUUAAAGGCUGUGGCUUAACCAUAGUACGCUUUGGAAACUGUUUAACUUGAGUGCAAGAGGGGAGAGUGGAAUUCCAUGUGUAGCGGUGAAAUGCGUAGAUAUAUGGAGGACCACCGGUGGCGAAAGCGGCUCUCUGGCUUGUUCCUGUCGCUGUGGCUCGCUGCGUGGGGGGGCUGCCCGGGUUUGGUGCCCUGGUUGUCCUCGCCGUUUCCGCUGCGUGCUAGGUGUUGGCCCCUUUCCGGGGUUUUGUGCCGCGGCUUNCGCGUUUGCCUCUCCGCUUGGGGUGUUCGUCCGCUUGGUUGUNNCUCUGGGGUUUUGUCGGGGGCCCGCNCCCGCGGUGGNGCCUGUGGUUUUUUUCGGUGCUUCGCGNNGNUCCUUGCCCGGUCUUGCCUUCCCUCUGNCCGCUCUNGNGGUNGNGUUUUCCUUCGGGUCCGUGGUGUCUGGUGGUGCUUGGUUGUCGUCCGCUCGUGUCGUGUGUUGUUGGGUUNUGUCCCGCNNCGGGCGCGCCCCCUUUUGUUNGUUGCCUUCCUUUNGUUGGGCCCUCUNGCGUGUCUGCCGGUNNUCNUCCGGUGGUNGGUGGGGNUGUCGUCUNUUCCUCGUGCCCCUUUUGNCCUGGGCUCCCCUCGUGCUNCCNUGGCUGGUNCNNCGUGUCGCCNGCCGGUGUCGGCCCGCUNNUCUCUUGNNGCCCGUCUCCGUUCGGNUUGUNGGCUGCUNCUCGCCUNCCUGCNGUCGGNUUCGCUNGUNNUCGCGGCUCNGCUCGCCCCCUAAAGCGUUCCCGGGCCU
rnacentral:rRNA from 1 species